rnacentral:lncRNA from 1 species
CUACGACUACCAUCAACACCACCAUUAUGAUUGCCGCAAUUGCUGCUCCAACCAUGAGUUCAAAUUUGCAUCACAAACUAUUACUGAUCCAAUCUCAUUAGUACUUUUUGUUCCCUGGCUUUGUCCCCUCUGUGUGUGAUCGUGUGAGGCUUGUAGCGGAUAAAAACUCCUCUUGUUCCCUCUGCAGGCUUUGUCUGGGCUCAACCUUGGAUGUGUCAUGUGACUUGUCCUGGCCGGUUGUCAUGCCAACAGCAGAUCAGAGUCAGGCUACGAGGCGGGAGGAGGAGAGACACGUUUGUUCUCAGCUUAUUCAAAACAAACCUCGGAUCCAAGGGAAGCAGUAGGAGGUUGGUGCGCUCGCAUCACCGUACAAAGCUCCCAGGUUCGCUACUUAGAGCCGCUGGGGAAGAUUCAAAGAUCACUCAAAGAUGCAAGAGUGCCUCGAAAUACAACUCCAGGUGCAGUGUGU